rnacentral:tRNA from 1 species
GGCGUAUAGCUCAGUGGUAGAGCAUGUACUUAGUGUGUUUGAGGUUCUAGGUUCAAGCCCCAGCACCA